AGAAACCCCUUCUUCUUCUCUUUUACAUAUCUAGCCCACCUUUGUCACCGCAUUGAUCCUCUCCCUCCGACACCGGCGUCCACCUCAACCCUCCGGUGGUAGCAGUUUUGCGUCGCAGGUCUUCUGCUAAGACUCACGGCACGGCAGUGCAACCUGCUCCGGCGAAAAACACGGCGGCACGCCUAAUUCUUGCGGCAUCUCCCUGACGUGUGCGAACUUCCUUUCAGCAACCUCUCUCUCUCGCAAAUCUCUCCCUCCGGCGACCUAUACUUAGAACUGACGUAACCUCCAACCACGUUAGGCUUGUAGCGGAAAACCCUUUCGUGCAUGAACCAGCAAAGACUCACUCGAUUUAAGCGGCUGCGCACAACUUUGGGUUAGUAGAAUCUUAGUUCGUGAAAGGAUUUAGGUCUGAUGAUUUACACGGCCAUCGACACGUUUUAUCUAACUGAUGAGCAGUUAAAGAACUCACCUUCGAGAAAGGAUGGGAUUGAUGAAGCCACUGAAACCACCCUGAGGAUCUAUGGUUGCGAUCUCAUCCAAGAGGCUGGCAUAUUGCUUAAAUUGCCUCAAGCAGUCAUGGCUACUGGACAAGUUUUAUUCCAUCGAUUCUAUUGCAAGAAAUCAUUUGCCCGCUUCAAUGUCAAGAAAGUUGCUUCUAGUUGCGUGUGGCUUGCAUCAAAGUUGGAGGAAAAUCCUAGGAAAGCCAGACAAGUAAUUAUUGUUUUUCACCGAAUGGAAUGCAGGAGAGAGAACUUACCUAUAGAGUUCUUGGACCCUACUCUCAAGAAAUAUGCAGACUUGAAGAUGGAGUUGAGCAGAACAGAGAGGCAUAUAUUGAAAGAGAUGGGUUUCAUUUGUCAUGUUGAACAUCCGCAUAAAUUCAUAUCUAACUACCUUGCAACCCUUGGAACACCUCCAGAAUUGAGGCAAGAAGCUUGGAAUCUAGCCAACGACAGUUUGCGUACAACCUUGUGCGUUCGAUUCAAGAGCGAAGUUGUGGCUUGUGGGGUUGUAUAUGCUGCUGCUCGGAGAUUUCAAGUACCCCUUCCUGAAAAUCCACCUUGGUGGAAGGCAUUUGAUGCAGAGAAGUCAGGAAUUGAUGAAGUUUGUCGAGUUUUGGCACAUUUGUAUACCCUUCCGAAGGCACAAUAUAUCCCAGUCUGCAAGGAUGGAGAUUCAUUUACAUUUUCUAAUAAGUCAUGGGAUUCACAAUCUCUUCCAGCCACCAAGGAAGUUCCACAAAGCAGUCCAACAGCCAACGAUGAUACUUCUAUGGUAAAAGCCACCGCUGGAACUAAUCCUGAAUCAGGGGGGUCCAAAGAUGAGAUGCUUAAAUUAGCCUUAAACAAGCUCAAGGAAUCUAAGAAGAGUGAUGACGAAUCCAAGAGCCAUACGCUUGAAGCCACUACUAGGGAGGAGCUUGUGCCAAAAUCAAAAUCUGAUCGAAGGGCUGAGAUUGGUGAAAGGAACAAGGAGAGAGAAAGAGACAGGGAUAGAGAAAGAGAGAGGGAAAGAGACAGAACCAAGUCUCGAGAUCGAGAUAGGGGUCGGGAUUCUGACAGAGAACGUGAGAGAGAGGAUGGAGACAGAGACAAAGCCAAGGAUCGAGCUCAUCGCUCAAAGGAUAGGGGGAAGGAACUAGGAGGGCAUUUGGAGAAAUCAAGACACCACUCGUCGCGAGAUCGUGAAUACCAUAGCUCAUCUUAUUCUUCACGCGAUAAAGAUCGUCAUAGGCAUCAUUGAUAGAUCAGGGUUUGAUCAAAAUCUUCUACAAUUGGUGGCAUUGACAUGUACAUGCAGUUUAGUAGUCGGUAUCUGGUUUCUUCUCUUGGAUUUGUACCAACUUCAAGUACACGAGUAUAGCGAAUGAGGUGUCCUGAUCUAUCGAGAUUGUACAAACAGAGGAAGCUUGUAAGCACCCAUCUUGGCUCGAUAAUUUUCUGUUCAACCAUUUUAGAUGACUACUUUUCAGGUUAAGAGCCAUUCAAUUCUUACUUUCCAACUCCGUGAGCUUUUCUAAAAUAUUUUGCCUCCGAAUGUUGGUGGGGCGCUGGAAUCUGAACUUUGAGUUUGUAUGAAGCCAGCUUUUAGGCCUAUAAUCAAUAGGAAUUGGAAUCAAAUUGAUUGAUAUGAAUAUGAAGAAUGUUGAAUGGAUGUAUUGGCGUGAUACUUAAGCGUUGACAAAGGUCGGUUGGUAUCUGCAGCUUUUCCUCAUUGAGAUUGAGAGGCUGUGCCAGGAAUGUAUCAAUGGUGUUGGACCUUAAGCUGUUUGUCACUCGAGUUACCGAGUAUUUCAAGUACAUUAUCUUACAUUUUUCUGUUCUCUUUAAUUCGUGGAAUGGUGUUAUUCAGUUAUUGACAUUACUUGAACAAGAUUUUCAAGUUCUAAAGAACAGUGUUAUUGAUCUUUA